GAUGAACGCUAGCUCCAGGCUUAACACAUGCAAGUCGAGGGACCGGCGCACGGGUGAGUAACACGUAUCCAACCUGCCCUUUACUCGGGGAUAGCCUUUCGAAAGAAAGAUUAAUACCCGAUGUAAAGGAUGGGGAUUCGUUGCAUUAGGUUGUUGGUGAGGUAACGGCUCACCAAGCCUUCGAUGGAUAGGGGUUCUGAGAGGGAGGUCCCCCACAUUGGAACUGAGACAAGGGCCAAACGCCUACGGGAGGCAGCAGUGAGGAAUAUUGGUAAAUGGGCGUUAGCCUGAAACAGCCAAGUAGCGAGAAGGAUGAAGGGUUAUGGGUCGUAAACGUCUUUUAUAUAAGAAUAUGUAUUAAAUGAAUAAGGAUCGGCUAACUCCGUGCCAGCAGCCGCGGUAAUAC
rnacentral:rRNA from 1 species